GGGCCUUCAACAUGUAGAAGCUAGGGAAAGGACCUUCAACAUGUAGAAGCUAGGGAAAGGGUCUUCAACAUGUAGAAGCUAGGGAAAGGGCCUUCAACAUGUAGAGACUAGGGAAAGGACCUUCAACAUAAGGGGACAAGCCUUUGAACAUUGUUUGUAAAUCUGAGGAUUGUCAUUAUAUGAAAACUACUUCAUAAGUAGAGUUUGAAUGAAUCUCAAAAUGGCACUGAUUAUUUUAUACACCUAAUGAAGAAAAUGUUGGAUCGGAUGAUAUAUUUUUCUACACUUUCUUUUUGUUUUAAAUGUUGUCUUUAAUCGUGUGUGUUGAUAAACCGGUUUAGAGAAGGUCCAUGUGUUAUAACGUUUUAAACCAUUUGUCUUUUUGUGAUUUUAAUAAAACGUCUCUGCCCUCA